rnacentral:rRNA from 1 species
UGAGUAACCUGCCCCAAACUCUGGGAUAAGCACUGGAAACGGUGUCUAAUACCGGAUAUGAACUUCAGCCGCAUGGCUAGGAGUUGGAGAGAAUUUCGGUUUGGGAUGGACUCGCGGCCUAUCAGCUAGUUGGUGAGGUAAUGGCUCACCAAGGCGACGACGGGUAGCCGGCCUGAGAGGGUGACCGGCCACACUGGGACUGAGACACGGCUCAGACCUCCGUACGGGGAGG